UGCAUCACCCAUUUUCAGAAAAAUGCAGAAAAACACCAGCAAUUAGUGUUGCAAAAAAGCAUCCAUAUACUGAGCCACUGUAUUUACAAAAAAUGUCAAACAAAACUCAAAGUCAAGGUACUGAAAGUGAUAUUCAGACUGUGGUUUCCACAGUACUUCAGUUCAUCGGUGUGGAACCGGAGUGCCCCUCUCUCCUAAGUCUGGACCCCACGAUGCUUGCCACGCUGCGGUUCACCCCCGGCCAAGAAGGACAGGGCGGGGGUGAACAGAGUGAUGUUGUUUUUGACUCCGUUUCCUGCUGUAGUAGGGUGUGUCCCACAUGUGGCCCAUCGUCACAGAGCCAGAUCCGGGUAAAUUAACUGUUACUCUGCUGACACCUGGUGGACUUAGAUGCUUAGUACAACUCAUAUAAGUUCCCCCACUGAAGCAGGCUGGACAAGAACAUGCUGAAAACUGAUGAAACUGCAGUAAACGGAGCGAAACGGAGGGAAACUUGCUGCUGACUGAAGCUACUUUCUGCUUCUCUCUUAUUCACAAGGGGUUGCCAAAGCAGGUACCUCUGAAUGCUUGAUUUGGUAAUUGAUUAUUAUUUUUUUAGGCAAAUGUGUGAAAGCUAACAUGAUGUCAAGCCCAAGAGUGCGUCCUGAAACAAUGACACACGUGAAU